rnacentral:miRNA from 1 species
ACCUUCCUGAGAGAGGUUGGGGCAGGCAGUGACUGUUCAGACGUCCAGUUUCUUUGGGACACCUCUUCAGCGCUGUCGCCCCUGCCU